GCAGGUUGAAGGUUGGGUAACACUAACUGGAGGACCGAACCGACUAAUGUUGAAAAAUUAGCGGAUGACCUGUGGCUGGGGGUGAAAGGCCAAUCAAACCGGGAGAUAGCUGGUUCUCCCCGAAAGCUAUUUAGGUAGCGCCUCGUGAAUUCAUCUCCGGGGGUAGAGCACUGUUUCGGCUAGGGGGCCAUCCCGGCUUACCAACCCGAUGCAAACUGCGAAUACCGGAGAAUGUUAUCACGGGAGACACACGGCGGGUGCUAACGUCCGUCGUGAAGAGGGAAACAACCCAGACCGCCAGCUAAGGUCCCAAAGUCAUGGUUAAGUGGGAAACGAUGUGGGAAGGCCCAGACAGCCAGGAUGUUGGCUUAGAAGCAGCCAUCAUUUAAAGAAAGCGUAAUAGCUCACUGGUCGAGUCGGCCUGCGCGGAAGAUGUAACGGGGCUAAACCAUGCACCGAAGCUGCGGCAGCGACACUGUGUGUUGUUGGGUA
rnacentral:rRNA from 1 species